UUUCUAAAGUGAAUUUAACAUUUAAAUUACUUUUUUAAAUGCAAUCAAAAAAGUAUAUUUCGAUAUAAAGAGGAUGAGAAAAAGAAACAUGAAUGCACGGAAUGUAAACAAAUAUUUGCAAUGAAAUCGCACUUAGAUGUGCACCUGAGAAGCCAUACUGGUGAGAAACCGUUUCCAUGCGAUAUUUGCGGUAAAAAAUUCUCCCAGUCUGGAAAUUUAACAAUGCACAAAAGAAUACAUUCGGAAGAACGACCUUUCAAAUGCAACUGUGGAUACGCUACAAAAAUUAAAUUUUUGUAGAGUAUCCACAGCGUAUCUGUUAUCACAUGUCAAACGAUUGUGAGGCCAGCCGAUUAGGGGUGAGGUGUUUUCGACAGCCGAGCGGUUAAUACUGUCGUGUGGGCGCGGAAUGACUCACCGAGACAGGUUUACCAUAUAAAACCGUUUAAUAAUAUACAUAAAUUGUUCUUACAACAAUUCAAGAAGUCAGGCGAACGCCUAUCCACCGAUGGGUUACUAAAACAGUUCCCAAACAACACGGAAAAGUUCGACAGUUCGGUCGGUCCUUGGGUGUUUCGCACGUCGGACGCAGAGAACGAUGUCCCCGGAGCACGCACCAGCACUUGUCGCGAUGUCCUCGGUUAACGAGUUGAACCUCGGCGAUCCUGGACAGAACGGGUUGUCGAAACCAGCUCCUAGGGCGUCGAAAGAGCCUUCGUUGUGUCUCUGUCGUGAGCACCAAAUCCCAGCAGGGUAGCGCUACGCACCAAAACCCAAGACUCCGUAAAGUUCCCGAAAACGCGGUUUUAUCAAUUUUUCCACCGCGGUCGCCUCUCCAUUGGUCUCUCCUCGUCACAUGGUGACAAUUCGAAACUCCAGGAAGGGCGCGGGAGAGUUCAACGUCGCGUCGGAACACGACUCCUC